UGCUUCAUCUUAUCGUCGAUCCACGACUGACUUGGCCAGUAAUUCAUCGCCAGGGAGAUUUGCCAGAGCAACUAAAGCUAAGCAAGUUAAACGCGCGACAACUGUCUGUCCGACAGUUUGGCUUAUUAGAAUAUCUCGCACCUUGAUGGCAACACGGGUGCGUGUACACGAGUAAGCUCGUAGAUAUGGAAGACUCUUGUGAGACGAACGUACGCGCAGCGAGGACGAUUAUCGUCCAGUAGUAAGAACACGAAAGUGGUCAGACCAAGCUUUACUUUUAUUUAAAAGAUUACUAAAUUCUGACGAAGGGCAUCUUUAUUUUUUCGAAAAGGCAUGUAAAAAAAAAUCUCUUCAUAAACUUUGUAAAAAUUGGUAUUUAAGGCACUUUCUUCACGUAAUGAAAUUUUACUUUCAGAAGAAUGAUUUAAGGAAGAAGAAUACGCUCUCUUUGGCUUCUCUUUGGAGUGCAACUUGGAAAGAAGUCAAUUAUAAUCUAUUACAGUCCAUUGAAGUUUAUUAAACUCUAUUAAGAAUUGCAGUAUGUGAUUGCGUAAUAAAAAAUCUUGCUCACGGAGGGAGCAGCUGAGAGAUGUGUUUCUAUCGCAAUUAGAAAAAAAGGCACAUUUAUUUAUCACAUACACACACGCGCGCGCGCGCACACACACACACGAAUAAAAAAUGAAUGACCGCUGGCGUGCACUGCUCGACACUACGGAUAAAACUGCACUCGCGAACCGUGUCGCAUUCGAUGCUUUCUGCGAAUUUUUGCCGAUCGUGGGCGUCGAAAGGGAGUCACGAUUAUUUAUGAUAACGACACUGCGGACGUUCGGAUGUUCUGAUCAUCGAAAUGACAUCGGGGACGUCGAGCGGGAGCGAGUUUUUUCCCUGUGGAACGUCCAGAAGUCACUGUAGAAAUCCAACGUGAUAGUGGCGAGGCACGGCCAAUAGGCGCGAGCGAAACGAUCGAUAACGCAAGACACGAAGUUUCGACCUGAUAAGAUCGAGAUUUCUAUGGCACUCGCCUGGCUCUGUCCGUUUGUACGGUUUUACCGAGACUGUCGUAAAUUCCCGCGGCCGUCUUCGAUAAGGCAAGCCUUCGAUUGGGAAGGCCAUCCCUCGCGGUGAUCGUAUCUUGUCGCAACUGGGUGGAGUAGGAUAGAAAAA